rnacentral:rRNA from 1 species
GACAGAGGGUGCAAACGUUGUUCGGAAUUACUGGGCGUAAAGAGCGUGUAGGCGGCUAGGUAGGUCCGCUGUGAAAACUCGAGGCUCAACCUCGAGACGUCGGUGGAAACCAUCUAGCUAGAGUCCGGAAGAGGAGAGUGGAAUUCCCGGUGUAGCGGUGAAAUGCGUAGAUAUCAGGAGGAACACCGGUGGCGAAGGCGGCUUUCUGGACAGAUACCGACGCUGAGGCACGAAAGCUAGGGGAGCAAACAGG